rnacentral:rRNA from 1 species
AUUGAACGCUGGCGGCAGGCCUAACACAUGCAAGUCGAGCGAAUGAAGAGAGCUUGCUCUCUGAUUUAGCGGCGGACGGGUGAGUAAUGACUAGGAAUCUGCCUGGUAGUGGGGGAUAACGUUCCGAAAGGAACGCUAAUACCGCAUACGUCCUACGAGAGAAAGCAGGGGACCUUCGGGCCUUGCGCUAUCAGAUGAGCCUCGGUCGGAUUAGCUAGGUAGUGAGGUAAUGGCUCACCAAGGCGACGAUCCGUAACUGGACUGAGAGGAUGAUCAGUCACACUGGAACUGAGACACGGUCCAGACUCCUACGGGAGGCAGCAGUGGGGAAUAUUGGACAAUGGGCGAAAGCCUGAUCCAGCCAUGCCGCGUGUGUGAAGAAGGUCUUCGGAUUGUAAAGCACUUUAAGUUGGGAGGAAGGGCAUUAACCUAAUACGUUAGUGUUUUGACGUUACCAACAGAAUAAGCACCGGCUAACUUCGUGCCAGCAGCCGCCGUAAAAC